UACCUGGUUGAUCCUGCCAGUAGCAUAUGCUUGUCUCAAAGAUUAAGCCAUGCAUGUCUAAGUACACACGGGCGGUACAGUGAAACUGCGAAUGGCUCAUUAAAUCAGUUAUGGUUCCUUUGGUCGCUCCCCUCCCGUUACUUGGAUAACUGUGGUAAUUCUAGAGCUAAUACAUGCCGACGAGCGCCGACCUCCGGGGACGCGUGCAUUUAUCAGACCAAAACCAACCCGGGCUCGCCCGGCGGCUUUGGUGACUCUAGAUAACCUCGAGCCGAUCGCACGCCCCCGUGGCGGCGACGACCCAUUCGAAUGUCUGCCUAUCAACUUUCGAUGGUACUGUCUGUGCCUACCAUGGUGACCACGGGUAACGGGGAAUCAGGGUUCGAUUCCGGAGAGGGAGCCUGAGAAACGGCUACCACAUCCAAGGAAGGCAGCAGGCGCGCAA
rnacentral:ncRNA from 1 species